GUCCAUCUGGAAAUAGGCCUUGUCUCUUCCCUACCAGCUGAAUUCUCAGCUGAAAAUGCAAAGGUCAAACACUUAGAGAAGCCUGUUUUAAUGGGGGUGGAUAUUAUUUCUGCCUCAGCCAUUUUCAGCUGGAAACCACAAGAUGGCAAUGUUGCAUCAUUCCUUGCAAGACCUUUACCCAUGGCUGUCCUGACUCCAGGUGAAUUCAAUCGCUAAGCAAUAAAUUGGGAGAUGCAGGAUCUUGUUGGUUUAACCAGCUAACAUUAUACUUGUAUUUGGUACUACUGAUUGUGUUUUCCUUGAUAAAAUGUAGCAUACUCCAGGAAAAGUAAUACAUUUUCACCCCUUGUUAGAACACUCAUGUAAUUCAAGCAAAUAACACAAACACAGUCUGAAUUUCAGUCUUCUAGACCCGGUUUUCCCCAACAUCAGACUAAUUAGUUUUAUUCCAUCUAGCCAACACCUGCUUGAGAAGAACAUUUAGUGUCAUAAAACAAACCACCCACCAAGAAAUAAGGAAACUGAGAAAAGCCCACACACCAACGUCAUGUUGCCAAGCUCAGCUCUAAAACAAAGCCUUACAACACACCCUGGUGGAUUCUCUUGGAGGAAACUCCAUUUUCUAAUGGAUCCUGAGGAGUUCUGUCUUCUUUUUUACUCCUACUGGUGAUGACAGUGUGCAUUGGUGAUAAGGACUGGACAUUGACCUUGUGAUGAG
rnacentral:lncRNA from 1 species